AUACGUAGGGGGCGAGCGUUGUCCGGAAUGAUUGGGCGUAAAGGGCGCGUAGGCGGCCCGGUAAGUCUGGAGUGAAAGUCCUGCUUUUAAGGUGGGAAUUGCUUUGGAUACUGUCGGGCUUGAGUGCAGGAGUGGUAAGUGGAAUUCCCAGUGUAGCGGUGAAAUGCGUAGAGAUUGGGAGGAACACCAGUGGCGAAGGCGACUUACUGGACUGUAACUGACGCUGAGGCGCGAAAGUGUGGGGAGCAAACAGGAUUAGAUACCCUGGUAGUCCACACCGUAAACGAUGAAUGCUAGGUGUAGGGGGUAUCGACCCCUUCUGUGCCGCAGUUAACACAAUAAGCAUUCUGCCUGGGGAGUACGGCCGCAAGGUUGAAACUCAAAUGAAUUGGCGGGG
rnacentral:rRNA from 1 species